UGGAAAGUGAAAAUUGGGUCGGGACAUGUUACUGGGCUCACAUUGCUGCUUUACUUGACUAGCAAGCGGCGUCGUUUCUGGUGCGCUUACCAAACUUAGACGUCGAAAGGGGAGCUGCGCCCGACUGCGACUCCGAUUACGGCAACGAAGGCAAUCGACAGGAGCGUACCGGCGCCCGGCAGAUCACCAACAUUCUAUUUCUCAUUGGAGUGACUCCAGAUUUCUCAUUGGAGUGACCAUAAAGAAUAGUGUGGAAGGCUAUAGCGACAAAUGAAGCUUGCAGAUGACUUGAACGACUUCCCUCUCACUUUUACUCUAGAACUACUCUUCUGGUAAACGGUAAUUACUAAUGGCCUUUGAGCUACAGAACUGAUUGAUGCCAGGGUUUUUUUUUUAUUAUUAUUUUAUUUUACUUUUAAUCUUCCUUUAUGUGGAUCAUGGUGACUAUCGCUUUCCUCAUUGGUUUUUAGAAUAUAGAAAGAAAAGGAAGGUUUUAUAAGUAAAUUUUGGAGUGGAGUUAAUUUAGAUAGAGAAUUUGUGCAUUUUUGUUCAAUAUAUGGUACAGUUGAAAAGACAACCUGCCUGGGCAGUUCUAGUUUUUCUCUGUGCUUGGUGGUGCAAAAGGUUAAGCCAUGAGACAGAUACUAUGGAACUCUAUCAAUGCAGAUGCUUCACCAUUUUUUGUAAAACUUUUUUAUUUGAGCUCAAAUUGACCUUGUCCAUGCAUUAGUUGACAAGCCAGAGAAUUGAAGGUUGGAUUCUGUCUAUUGACAUAUGCUCAAGUCGUGGUAUUAUAUUAUGCUUUUAGA